rnacentral:rRNA from 1 species
GAUGGUAGUGUAUUGGACUACCAUGGCUUUAACGGGUAACGGAGGAUUAGGGUUCGAUUCCGGAGAGGGAGCCUGAGAAACGGCUACCACAUCUAAGGAAGGCAGCGGGCGCGUAAAUUACCCAAUCCUGACUCAGGGAGGUAGUGACAAGAAAUAACGGACCGAAGCCUAUGUUUCGGGAUUGCAAUGAGUAGAAUUUAAACCCCUUUACGAGGAUCAAUUGGAGGGCAAGUCUGGUGCCAGCAGCCGCGGUAAUA